CAGCAGCCGCGGGAAUACGUAGGUGGCAAGCGUUGUCCGGAAUUAUUGGGCGUAAAGGGCUCGCAGGCGGUUUCUUAAGUCUGAUGUGAAAGCCCCCGGCUCAACCGGGGAGGGUCAUUGGAAACUGGGAAACUUGAGUGCAGAAGAGGAGAGUGGAAUUCCACGUGUAGCGGUGAAAUGCGUAGAGAUGUGGAGGAACACCAGUGGCGAAGGCGACUCUCUGGUCUGUAACUGACGCUGAGGAGCGAAAGCGUGGGGAGCGAACAGGAUUAGAGACCCCCGUAGUCCCUGUCUCUUAUAC
rnacentral:rRNA from 1 species